rnacentral:snoRNA from 1 species
AUGCACUGAUGAAUAGUAUAUUUUUUGAAAAUUGUGAUAGAAAUAUAACAUAAUAAUGAGCUUUUUAACUCUGAGCAUU